rnacentral:rRNA from 1 species
AACGUAGGGGGCCAGCGUUGCUCGGAAUUACUGGGCGUAAAGGGUCCGUAGGCGGUGUGGCAAGUCGGAAGUGAAAUCUAUGGGCUCAACCCAUAGUCUGCAGGCGAAACUGUCGGGCUUGAGUAUGGGAGAGGUGAGUGGAAUUUCCGGUGUAGCGGUGAAAUGCGUAGAUAUCGGAAGGAACACCUGUGGCGAAAGCGGCCCGCUGGGCAGUGGCUGACGCUGAGGCGCGACAGCGUGGGGGAGCAAACAGG